rnacentral:rRNA from 1 species
UACGUAGGGGGCAAGCGUUGUCCGGAAUCAUUGGGCGUAAAGAGCGUGUAGGCGGCUCGAUAAGUCUGCUGUGAAAGUCCAGGGCUCAACCCUGGAAGGCCGGUGGAAACUGUCGGGCUAGAGUCCGGAAGAGGCGAGUGGAAUUCCCGGUGUAGCGGUGAAAUGCGCAGAUAUCGAGAGGAACACCUGCGGCGAAGGCGGGUUGCUGGGCUGACACUGACGCUGAUGCGCGAAAGCCAGGGGAGCGAACGGG